rnacentral:rRNA from 1 species
AUGCACCACACCGGGAAUGUAAACAUAAAAACCACAUUCAAAAAAUUAUGUUCUUGUCCGCAAUGGCUAGACCGAGGUAUGCUGCUCAAGGCAAUUGUGUUUUUGAUGGCAAGAUUGGGGUUUGGGCUUACACAGAAAUGGUGCAAGCUCAAAAGAAGAGUCAAAACAGCUCCGCACUUGUUUUUGUUACUACUCCUACUUUGUGCUAAAAUUUUAUGUGCACAUUAUUUACUUUGUUUCUAUAUCCAUAAGGUUGAGAGGGACAUGGGAGCUCAAGCCUUGCCAUACAGUGGACAGGGAGAAAAGUCGGGAAUACUUAGUGAAAUACGUACUGCCGGCUAUAAAGGAAAAGUGGCCUGA